rnacentral:lncRNA from 1 species
AAAGAAGCUGAGAGAAAGAAACGGAAGAGUAUAAGGAUGGAGGAAUAUAUGUCCCAAGUGAUGUGAUGAGAAUGCAUGCAACAGACGAAGGUAAAAUGAAUGAAAGAAAAACAGAAUAAUAAGAAAAUAUGGUGGAGAGAGAAACAAAGAGGGAAAUAGAAAAGAAAAGAGAGAGAGAGAGAGAGAGAGAGAGAGAGAAAGGGAUAGAAAGAAAAAUGAAGAGAGAAACAGAGAGAGAGAGAGAGACAACAACACGAGUAAAAAAUAUAGAUGAGUAAAAUGUCCCAGGUGUUGUGAUGGGAAUACAUGUAACGAACAAGUUUCGAUGAAAAGUAAUAGAGAUAUAUGUAGACGAAAAGAGAUAACGAGGCUAGAGGCGUUUACCAAUAGAAAAUAACCUGUACACAACAGAAGCCUAUCUUUCCUAUUCUGUUCACCGUCUCUUUCUAUCUGUGUUUCAUUUCUAUAUUUCAUUCUUUUUUUCUCUGCCUUUAUCUUCUGACAUUUUUUUCAAAAAAAAAAAAACAAAUCAUUCUAAUUUCCCCGUCUUUAACUUAUUAGCCUUCAUCCAUCAAAUAGUUUUGCUUUUAUCUUUCCCUCUUCGUGUAUUAUUAUAAUUAUUGUUUUUCUCUUUUUUUCCCCAUCUUUUUAAACUUGCACGUUAUAUUAAUAUCAUUUGAAAAAAAAAUUCUUUUUACUUUCGACUUCUUUCAAACAUUGAUCGGCAUGUAUACGCGAUGGACUGACAAAAAUUAUCAUCAUAGCCCCCACCACCACUACUUUCACCAGCAGCAACAUCAUCAUCAUUAUCAUCAUCCUCAUCGUCGUUUUCAUUGUCAUCGAUAUUAUUUUCCUCAGCAUCACCACAAUCAUCAUCACCAUUAUCAUUAUAUAGUGACAAGUUUCUUUCGCCAGUGAACCAUAAGAAAAAAAAAUCUCUUCCGACGUUAGUUUUCUUCUUUUCAUCUAGUAGUAGUAUUUAGAAAGACAUUCUGUCUAUUUAGUUUAGGCGAUCUUCCCUUACAAGAGCCACAAACAAGCAUCAGGGCUAUCCAGGACGUUAGAUAAUAUAUUACAACUUCAUUUUCGGCUUUUCUCUCAUUCUCAGAUGUUCCCAACUUUUUAAUAGGAUUUCAUUACUGCAUCUCACAGUGAAAUCUUACUUUCACUUUCGUUUUCAAGGUAGAGCAUGCAGUCUUAUUAAUUUUGUAAUCGGACAUUUACUUUAAAACAUCUAUCUAUCUAUCUAUCUAUCUAUCUAUCUAUCUAUCUAUCUAUCUAUCUAUCUAUCUAUCUAUCUAUCUAUCUAUCGGUCUAUCUAUCUAUCUUUCUAUCUAUUCUUCUGCUACUUUGUCUCCUCUUUACUUAUAAAUCUAUUUAUUCACCAAUAUAUAUAUAAUUUAUUUUUAUCUACGUAGAUAUUUAUUUUUCUAUUAUUUUGUUAUACAUUGCAACAUUACUUUUAGCAUUACGUACCUGUUUCUCUAUCCAUCUGUCAACCUAUCUAUCUACCUACCUACCUACCUACCUACCUACCUACCUACCUACCUACCUACCUACCUACCAACCUACCUACCUACCUACCUACCUACCCACCUACCUACCUACCUAUCUACUUACCUACCUACAUAUAUACCUCUAUCAAACUAUACCUAGCUAUAUAUUUAUAUAUUUAUAUAUAUAUAUAAAUCCAGCAAUAUCUAUCUGCCUAUCUAUUUAUUUUACUCUUUACCUGCCUGCGUCUCUCUGUGUAUCUAUAUCUAUAUAUUUAUCUGUCUAUAAACAUUUCCAGUAUCCUCUCUAUCCAUCUCUAUCCAUCUACAUGUUUCUUUCUCUCCUUCUCUCUCUCUUUCUGGAUACCAAUCAAUAUAGCUAUCUAUCUACCUUUUUAUCUAUGUAACUAUCCAUCCAUCCAUCUUAGUAUCUUUCUACCUCUCUAUGAUAUUUCUUAUUUUUUCUGAUUACCAAAGUAUUUAUUUAUCUAAACAUCUUACUAGCAUUGUGUCUUACCAUUCACCCAGAUACUUCUCAACCUUCGUGCCUAUUUAAAAUUUAUUUCUUUAUCUUUCCAUUUUCUACUUUGAUCAGAUUUUUCUUCGCCCAUAUUUUCUACCUCCCGUUGCAUCGUAAUAUUUCUCUCACUCUCUCCCACUCUGUAUAAUAUUGAAAUCCCGUCUAGAUACGGGAUGAGUCUGCCGUUCAUCAUAACCUCAUCGCUUGCAGAGAAAAAUAAAGAUGAAACAAGGCGAAUGAAUGAAGUCUUAUUUCUUGAACUAGAAACCCUCCAACGUGAGUACAAGAGAAGCCGACAAGUUGUUGAGCAGCUGACCAAGGACUAUGAGGAAUCUAAGGAUUUAGACCCCGUCCGACGCUACGAAAAACUUAAAGUAAUGGUCAAGCGGACUAUAAUGCACUUUAAAGUAAAUUCCGAAGAACAAAUCAAAGAGGCCGCAGCUGCGGCAGCCUGCCAAGGAACACAGGCAGAGGCACUGAAAAGGCGUGGGGAGAAAAACACAAGUAAGCCCU